CAGUGCCAGUGCCAGUGAAAGAAGUACAACUAUGUAAAUUACCUGACCUUGGAAGAAUCGUUGUUGUUGUUGCCGGUGCCGGCCAUGUUUAAGUACAUGGCGGCACAUGUUGGUUGAGUUGUUACUUAUUAUUAGUAGGUAAGAGCAAUGAUGUAGGAGGUGGAGACAUAUGUUAAUGCUAGGUCUGUGACCUGUUUUAAGUACAUUUUUGUAAUGCUUGGUAGUGGUACUGUAAUGCGGCAGUAGCUGCUCCAUGUUUUGUCCCUUGUCCCUGAUGUAAAUGUCGUCGUCCUGCAGCAAAUGACUCUUCUUCUCUUACAUGGCCUGAUUACCAGUUGUGACGCAUGGUUCUUGGCAAGUCGGGAAAUGUGCACCGGGGGGUGCCUUUGACCGCCCAAGGCGACUGUUGCCCCCCUGAGGUCGUGACCAUCUCCCCCUUCCAAGGCCAUGUACAUCCUGCCACAGAAGUCUGCUGCUAAAAUUGACACGCUGGAGGCAGGUCAAUUGGGGUACCAACAAGUUUGCGAGGGCCUUUGGGUUGAGAUGGCCUUGCUGCGAGUGGAAGGAACCAACCAAGCUAUGGGUUGGAACGGGUAGUCCUUGCGAUGAGUUGGACCUUGACUUAUUCUAUGCUUCGGCCAUCAUCACCAUUGACAACGGUGCGUGAGCCCAUUUUUGGGACUACAAGUUUCAUUCACAAGGAAAAAAAAUGGAAGGUGUGAAGCUUUGAAGGAUGAUGCUUGACCAUCAUCACCAUUGACAACGGUGCGUGAGCCCCUUUUCGGGACUACAAGUUUCAUUCACAAGGAAAAAAUGGAAGGUGUGAAGCUUUGAAGGAUGAUGCGUGGAUUUUCAGGAUCGAAGUCUCCACCAACCUAAUCGUGGAUCAUAUCCAGGAGUCCAUUGUCCUUUGGGCGCUCAUCAAUGACUUCCUCAGUGAAAAUGUUGAGGGCGACAUUACUUGGAAGCAUACGGCGUGCAAGCACUAUUCGACAUGUCUGGCAAAAAUGGCCUAUGUGCACUUUGUAAAGAGAGCAAGUAUCCGUGUUACAACUUUUCACCAAGUGUCGGUUCAUCCCAAGGCUUUGGGGCUUGGUAAGGAGUGACUUCAAAUCGAGAGCAUUGACACGUUCACGUGGAGCUUGGAGCACUCUAUCAAGGAAUGGCGGCUCAGCCUAUCCGGCUUGCACGUCCCAAAUAGAAAAAAUUAUGAUCUUCCUUGCUAACUUUCCUUUCUUUGGUUGAACUAUUUGGAAUGAAAAGAACGCACAGGGUUUCCGCCACAAGUCCACAUCACUGUCAAUUUUUCUUGGCAUCAUCAAGAAUGAAGCUACGCUUGGGGCGAUCGUGGGGAAAAGAGCCGUUGGGUUCAAUACUACAGGGAGAGUAAUACAGUAGCUUUUUUUUUGGGUAUUAUGUUGCCGUGUAAACAAACUCUAUCUCUACUACCUAAAAGAAACGGAGUGUUCCGUCUCCCGUCUUACGUCGCCCACCCCUUCGUCCAUCCUCCUCGUACGACCCCUCCCCCUCCCAUGCUUUCAUCUUUGGUAAUCAAAUAAAUCUUAGUAAUAAUAAGAUCAAUCUUUCCUUUGGCAACACAAUAAAUUUUCGGACAGCAAUCAAUUUCUUCUUUGUAGUACAUGGUAAUACAAUAAAUUCAUGGGAAGGAAUAAAUCACAGUAGGUAAUCAAGCGAGGAGCCCGGCGGCCGCCUUCCUCUUCUGGUCUAUCCAUGCCUCCCGUUCGUGGAGCCCUCCUCACUUUCCGUUCCUCCUCUCCCAUGAAGCGCCGCCGCCCCAUUUCCUAUGUCCACCCGGACCGGCGCCGGCCGCACCCCAUCCCAUCCCCUCUCCUAUCUCUCCUAGAAAUCAUGGUGGGGGUGAUUGUCGGGACCCCUGUCUGAAGAACCGCGGGGCUACGCCGUCCAACGACGAUGGUCAAAGAUUUCGGCAGCUAGCCGUCGCCUGAAAGUGAAAGCGGAAGUUGGCCGGAGACCUCAAUGGUAGUGCAGCUUUUAUCCCCAACGGCCUCAUCUACCUGAUCUCUAACUCAUCCCGACCGACCACAAACGCCGGCAGGGGCAGAGAUUUUCAGAGUUUUGAGUUUACACUGAUCUCAUACGUGGGUUUACACUGGUAAGAGAUUUGCCGCCGGUCGAUCUCAAUGGUAGGCUUACACUGAUCUCAUACGUGGCGUGUUUUGAGUUUCACAUAUUGGUCUUCUAUCUACUGACGGAUUAACUCUUACACAGACUUUGCUAGAUUGUAGCAAAGAGAGGACUUGAAGCUGGGAUGGACCAAGGUUAAUCAAGGGAGCAUCAAGGUCUGAACGUGAUAAUUGACGAAAUAAUUGCACCAUAUAUAGGAAUGGCACUGAAUUUGUUAGGGGGUCAUUGCAGUUCUUGACGUGGCAUGAGGAGGAGAUCAGAGCUGUGGAUCAGUCCAGAUUCAGAGAAUGUGUGGUUGAUGGUUUGCACCCGUCCAAUUCAACCAAAAAGGCCUGCAAUGCGCUGGUCGGCGCCUUGUACAGGUACAGUUAAGAUCAACUCUGAUGCUUCCUUCCUGCUGGACACUGAACAAAGCUGGGCCACACGGCCGGUGCUGUGGUUUAGUAUCAUAUAGAAGUUUGGUAUUUUUCUCGGUGUGUUGGCAGAUUUAACAAUGCAGUAGUGUGGAAGAGGCGGAAGGACAGGCUGCUUUGAUUUGGUUGUGUUCGCUCUGGACUGUAUACAUGGGGAUCGUUAAUGAGCUGAUACCCGAGGCGUUGAAUUGGUCUCCUUGCUACUCCCUGUAGCCUUUCCCUCCUAAAAAUAAGUUUCAAUUUUUUCUGAAAAGUUUUGCUAUAUUUUCAUGCGGGGUGCAGUGGGGGUGCACGGGCUCAGCCACUACUUUCCAUUAUUUGCAAAGUUGUAAUAAACUACGACAACUAUAAGGUGUUCCUUUUUAGAGCUCAUAUGUGUGCUUCGUUGCAUGUGCACAAGUAGUCCUGGUUCUGAAAACCUAUUUUCAAGCUUUUAUCUCUGCCAUACGAGCAUACUGCCUUUGUUUAGGGUGCUAAUUUAUGACUGCAACAUAGAGUUACUUUUAGGUGGACAUGAGGAUUCUAAGUCGAUCACUCACAUCAAGUCUGCUCAUAAAAUAGCUAGGACUGUAGCACGUUCACACCUUUUUUAGGAAUAGAAUAAUUGAUUACCCAACAGCCACAACACAUUCUAUUUGCAUCAAUGGUCGCAACUUCAACAUGAUGUCGUCUAUUGCAUCGAGGUCACCUUGGGUUCUAGCUAUGGUAGUGACCUCAUGGGGGAGAGUGUUGCAGCUCAUGCCAAUCACACGGAUUUUUUAGGAGGGAAUGUAGCGGCUGAGCCCCACCUCGGUGCAUCCCCGUUGCGCCCCACAUAAAAACAUAGGAAAACUUUCAAAAAAAAUUGAAACUUCCUAGGAAUGAUUAUGAACAAAUGUUAUAGAUGCUUACAAAAUUUUGUGGUCAAAUGAUAUCCAAGGAGCUCUGUACAAAAAAAGAUACAAAUUCUUCUCAAACAGUGCACAUACAUUUUUUUUUGUACUGAGUUCCUCAACGUCAUUUGACCACCAAACUUUGCAAGCACAUAUAAUAUUUGUUCAUAAUCAUUUCCACAAAAUUUCGAAAAGUUUGGCUAUGUUUUCCUUUGGGGCUGUAGCGGGGUGCACCAAGUUGGGGUGUAGAAAAACCACUCUCUUGCAAAUAAUCAAUAAUUUCGAUUUACAUGUACAGGUACCUCGGUAGGACUUGAGGUUGCUCUUGAACUUAGUCUCAUCAAGGUGUCAGUAGGGGAGGGAGGGAGAGAGAGAGAGAGAGAGAGAGAGAGAGAGAGAGAGAGAGAGAGAGAGAGAGAGAGAGAGAGAGAGAGAGGGAGGGAGAGAACAUAAAAAGCAAUUUGAUUGAGACACUGCAGCGGGAGAGGGGGAGAAAAGGGGUCGCAGUUUGAUCGUGGCAUCAUAACAGGAGAGGGAGAGAACAUAGAAUGCAAUUUGAUUGUGAUAUUGCAACGGGAAGGAGAGGGGGAGAGACCACUGUUUGAUCGUGACAGCAGGAAACAAAGGGAUGAGGCAUGUGGGGAAGGAGAAGUUUAAUGUGACGUAUCCGAAAAUUAUAGGUACACCUUAAUAAGACCAAUAUGAAGUGAAAUAUAACACAACUAAAUGUAUAAUUACAAAAAAACACAACUAAAUGUAUGAGUUAAUAAUAUUCAAAGUAUAUGUUGGUCGGGUGGGGGUGGUGAGCCAGAUGCAUCACUCAUAGGGUGGCGAGCUUGGAUUGGGAAGCUUGCUUUAACGGUAAAAGAGCAUACAAUACAAGAUGUGCAUGUUGAUUCUGAAGGUAUAUGUUAGACAUGAUUAAUACUGAACCAUCAAAAUAUCAUAAUAAAUAUAUUCCGUUGCAACGCACGGACAAUUAACUAAGAUGAGGGAGAGAGACUUACUAAGAUGCGAACAAUAUGAAUUAUAAAAAACUGUACGGUGGGGUUGAAAGGGGGAUUGCGAGCUGGCUACACCAUUGACAAAGGUUGUACGCUUAGAUUUGUAUGCCAGAGAUAGUGGGUCAAGGAGGUAGAAGAAGGAGGAGAAAGAAGAAAACUGAUUUUAGCAAUAGAAAGGCCGACAAUAUCAUCUAAUGCUAGCGGUAAAAAAUACAAUAGUGUCAUCUGAUGUGCAUGAGGAUCCUACAUGUAUAUGUUAGCCAUAAUCAGUGUUGAGCCAACAGAAUAUGUAUGUCCCUGUGCAACGCACGGGCACUUACCUAGUUCUCUUUAAUAAUUAAUAAAUAGGCGAUGAUACGGGUCGGCGGACUGGCCCAAAUUUCGGCCGGUCGGCGCGCGCACGUUGGAUCAAGCCGUCCUGCAUCGUUAGAUUUCCUUGUCUCCCCAUCCUGAACCUCUGAUCUGAACACACGCAAAAAAAAAAAAC
rnacentral:lncRNA from 1 species